rnacentral:rRNA from 1 species
GGAUUAGAUACCCUGGUAGUCCACGCCCUAAACGAUGUCUACUAGUUGUCGGGUCUUAAUUGACUUGGUAACGCAGCUAACGCGUGAAGUAGACCGCCUGGGGAGUACGGUCGCAAGAUUAAAACUCAAAGGAAUUGACGGGGACCCGCACAAGCGGUGGAUGAUGUGGAUUAAUUCGAUGCAACGCGAAAAACCUUACCUACCCUUGACAUGGAUGGAAUCCCGGAGAGAUUUGGGAGUGCCCGAAAGGGAACCAUUACACAGGUGCUGCACGGCUGUCGUCAGCUCGUGUCGUGAGAUGUUGGGUUAAGUCCCGCAACGAGCGCAGCCCUUGUCAUUAGUUGCUACGAAAGGGCACUCUAAUGAGACUGCCGGUGACAAACCGGAGGAAGGU